rnacentral:lncRNA from 1 species
AUGAGGGCAGCAUGAGCGGCCUCAAAUGUGCCUUUGGGAGUAGUUAGCCUUUCGCUCUUGAUGAGGAGAAGACGUCGGCCAUCCGCUUGAAGGGAUCAUCAUUGAGAUUUUGGAGGAUUGAACAAAAGCAUCUGGUCGGGAACGUCGUUAUGAAGGAAGAGACAAGACCCUGCCUGAGGAGGCACAUAUGAGAAUAACAGAAAGGAGCCUGUGGAUAAAUACAGAAGAGCAGCUGAGGAGGUAGGUAGCAGCCAGAGCUGCGGCUGGACCUGGCAUGGCUCCU